rnacentral:rRNA from 1 species
AUUGAACGCUGGCGGCAGGCCUAACACAUGCAAGUCGAACGAGUGGCGGACGGGUGAGUACUGUCUGGGACACUGCCUGAUGGAGGGGGAUAACUACUGGAAACGGUAGCUAAUACCGCAUACCAUCAGAUGUGCCCAGAUGGGAUUAGUGAGUGGGUGGGGUAACGGCUCAACAAGGCGACGCUCCCUAGCUGGUCUGAGAGGAUGACCAGACACACUGGAACUGAGACACGGUCCAGACGCCUACGGGAGGCAGCAGGUGGGAAUAUUGCACAAGGGGCGCAAGCCUGAUGCAGCCAUGCCGGGUGUAUGAAGAAGGCCUUCGGGUUGUAAAGUACUUUCAGCGGGGAGGCGUUACCCGCAGAAGAAGCACCGGCUAACUCCGUGCCAGCAGCCGCGGUAAUUC